GACGAACGCUGGCGGCGUGCUUAACACAUGCAAGUCGAGCGGUAAGGCCUUUCGGGGGUACACGAGCGGCGAACGGGUGAGUAACACGUGGGUGACCUGCCCUCAGCUCUGGGAUAAGCCUGGGAAACCGGGUCUAAUACCGGAUAUGACUCCAUGACGCAUGUUGUGGGGUGGAAAGCCUUGUGCGGCUGAGGAUGGGCCCGCGGCCUAUCAGCUUGUUGGUGGGGGAUGGCCUACCAAGGCGACGACGGGUAGCCGGCCUGAGAGGGCGACCGGCCACACUGGGACUGAGACACGGCCCAGACUCCUACGGGAGGCAGCAGUGGGGAAUCUUGCGCAAUGGGCGAAAGCCUGACGCAGCGACGCCGCGUGAGGGAUGACGGCCUGGUGUAAC
rnacentral:rRNA from 1 species